ACCGCCUCAAUGUUCGAACUAAAGCCAACACCAAGAACCAAAGAAUUUCCACUUUUCUGUUCCCGAAACCCAAGCCACAGCGAAAACCAAAACCAGAGAAAAGAAUUAUGGUGAAGAAAAUGUUGCUAGAAGUUCAAAAGAAAAGACCCAUUAAGCGUAAUAAGAAGAAACUGCUAAAGAAAGUCAUAGACUUUCUCAUUUCUAACUCUUACAUGUUUGCUCCUCUAAUUUCUCAUCCACCUCACGGCUUUAGCUCACCCAUGAAGACAAGGGCUUCUAUUACAGGAGUGGAAGGAAGGAAACCCAUUAAAGGAAACAACAAGAGGUUGCUGAAGAAGGUUGGGGACUAUCUGAAGUCUGACUCUUACAUGUAUGCUCCCCUGCUUGCUUCACCUCCAUCAGCCAGUACUAGUAGCCCUCCUAAAGAUUCCCCGUGAAAGUUGUCUUAAUCAGCCAAACAAAAUCAUGCGUGAAUCAUGUUUGAUGCAUGUGAUCAAGCAUAGCAACUUAAGAUGUUUGGAGUGGUGGUGGUUAUUUAAUUUAUACUUUAAAAGCUUGGAGCUGGUGAAGUAUGACUGGUCAAAAUUAUAUCGAAAAAGAAAAGUAAGAAGAGGUACACCCAGUUGGCCUAGAUAUAAGUUAGGCACUGAUUUGAAGUAUGUCGUUGGAGCCUUCCGAGUUUAUUGGCAUUCACAAUAGAGUUUCACCUUUUUCCUGUUUUAUUGGGUGAUUAACAUAAGAAUCAAUUGAUGGGAUCAAGUUAUAGAAGGUCUGCCUCAGUCGCGUGGCCCCUUCAGCAGAGGUGUGGUACCGGCCAAAGGCUCUCCAAUGCUAAAGGGUCUUCAAAGUACCUUAAGAAGGUCGUCACCAUGGCCAAUUCAGAGAGGAAAUUAUUUUUAAAAUACAACAAAUCAAAUGAACGGUUUACAAAUGUGAUAGCAGAGGAUCAAGCCUCCAAGGGCUGUCUUCCUGAAAAAGUCCUUUCAGAGCAGCAAUCUGUAGUGCACAAGGAAACAGUGAAGCAUGUGGUUCACCAUAGCUGUCGCUCAUCGAUGUCAGGGAAAGGACUGCUCAGAUCGCACCUAAGGAAGCUUGUUGACUGAAAGCAUAAGGAAUCCAUUACUAGUUUCAAUAACUGGAAUGUACAGGCGGCGUUGUAAUUAGGAUGCUUAUGCUUUCGUUUAAUUAGACAUGGUCAUAUUUUCUAAGGAAUUAAUGUUAUAAUACGAUAACGAAGCCUGUUGUCGUGAGCUUGUAUGAUGAGUAUUUACUGUUUGAAGGUCUUUGAUAAAACUUGGCCAUGUUCAGCACGGGGCCCCCCAGAUGGAAGUUGCUGUUGCAGGUGUUUUUUAACGCAGCCCCAUUCUAAUUCCGGAGGAAUACAGAUAAUUGGCUGCUAGAAGUUACGUCAACAAGCACUGGCUUUUAGAUUUUGUGGUGUAAUUUCCCCUGUUGAAUUACGUAUGCACAGAUAUGAAAACUUGCACAACGAAGAGAUUUGAAUUGGAGAUUUUCCAUGCUGAAAGCUACUGCAGAGGAAGUGAACUUUAGUAUGAUUAGACUUGACAUGAAAUCCUCGUGAGCGGGGGAUAUGAAGGUCGUCUUGUCAAAAAUUGAACUGCUGAUCAUAUGAGGACGGGACAGCUCAUCAGUGGUCAGGUAACCUGUAACUCAUCUAGCAGUUUUAUUUGGUUGUCUGUUGAAUUAGAAUUUCUCAAAAGUAGCUCAAAGUUCUUGAUGUCAUAAGCAGCUUCUAAUAGUACUUCAGUUCUAUCAUGGCUCAACAUGCAAACGAUGAAGUCAAUUAAGAAUGCAGAGCUCAGUCAAUUGGUAAAUAUUUCAAUGCUUAUCAUGUCCACUAGUAGUAGAUGGAUAACUAGUACCUUCCCCACAUGGAGAUGGAGGUAUCGGCUUAUGGAUUGAAACAACACGUGGAGUCACAUCGACCCUUCACGUGUGAUGUUUGAUCUCCCAUGGAUACAUCUAAGAACACCCACAUGCGAUGGGAACAUGCACUGAGAAUUGUUAUUGCAUGUGAGAAUUGUUAUGACACGUGCAAAACUAUGAGUCAAGUAUAAUUGUUUAAUCAGAUAAGCGUAAAUCAUGAUUGGAUUGGGUAACUCAUUAGAUUUAUGGUAUGUUUACUAAUUCGUAAUCGAAUGAGGAUGAAUUGAAUUGAGAAGUCGGAAUUUAGAU